UCAUUCUAUAAGACGGAUGCUUGGAGCCACAUUUCACAGAUGAGAAACAGGGCAGGGAUAGCGAGGAGGCAACAGAACCUGACUGAAGACUCCACAGCCCAUGCCCUGCUGUUCCAACUCUUGAUGGGGCCACCGCCAUAAUUAAAUAUCAACAUGUAUCUCGUUCACUAAAGACUAUUUAUGCCUGAGCAUGCAAUAAUCAGAAAUACCAAACACACUCAAAAGAUAUGCACACAAAAUCCACAUAAUAAUUGUAUGUUUCCAGCACUUUGUUAGGCAACAUGGUCUCUUCUUUCAACCUUGUUAGCUAGAUGAAAUUACUAGAUAACAGCCUAUCAGAGAACAGUAACAGCGGCAGGUAACCUGAGAUCAAGGGAUGUGCUUUAGAACAUAAGCCCCCCUAAACAGUGCAUAUAUAAUUAUCUCCCAGGUAUCCCCGAUUCUAACAGUUGCUCCACCCUCCUCUUUCUUCCUUUAUUCCCUGCUCUCUCUCAAGCUCCUCAAACUUUCCACUCCCCAGUCUCAACUGUAAUCGCCUGUCAGUGGGAGUGGGAAAAGGGAAGGAUGGGGAGGAAAUGAAGAAAACACAAGCAAGACUCCUCUUCUGAAGCUGUUGAAGUAACUUCUUAUCGAACACUCUACCCUAGGGCUGCCAGUUGGCAGUUGGAAGAAAAGGAAAAGCGAAGGGUAAAAAGAUGACAAGGUUAUCAGUCCAGAGAUAGAGUGAAGAUAUAAAAAGGCUACUCAGUGGUAGUAGUGACUCUGCGCUACCUCCUAGGCAGCCCAGUCCCACAGAGACCCAGCAGUUGGCCAGAAGGACUGUGUAUUGGCAGCUUUCACAAAAGUGGACUUCGUCAAGUCUGAAGAGUCUUCAAGUGUGAAACUUGGUGCACAAGCAUUUGUAUCACACCAUUUCAACACUAUUCCUAAUAUCAUAAAGCUGUUCAAUGUCCAAAAACUGGUGACUUACAAUGCACUUAAAAGGCACUCAUUAAUAAAAGUAUCUUCAAAAACCACA